AGAAACUUAGGAUACUAAAACCAAGGGCCUUCAAAGCCCUAAAAAAGGGUGUAAACCCCUUAGUUUUUG
rnacentral:tRNA from 1 species